rnacentral:rRNA from 1 species
UACGUAGGGUGCAGGCGUUAUUCGGAUUUACUGGGCGUAAAGCGUGCGCAGGCGGUCUUUUAAGUCAGAUGUGAAAUCCCCGGGCUUAACCUGGGAACUGCGUUUGAAACUGAAAGGCUAGAGUGUGGCAGAGGGGGGUGGAAUUCCACGUGUAGCAGUGAAAUGCGUAGAGAUGUGGAGGAACACCGUUGGCGAAGGCAGCCCCCUGGGCUAACACUGACGCUCAUGCACGAAAGCGUGGGGAGCAAACAGG